CGGUGGCGGGCGUGCUAUACUGCAAGUCGAGCGGACAGAUGGGAGCUUGCUCCCUGAUGUUAGCGGCGGACGGGUGAGUAACACGUGGGUAACCUGCCUGUAAGACUGGGAUAACUCCGGGAAACCGGGGCUAAUACCGGAUGCUUGAUUGAACCGCAUGGUUCAAUUAUAAAAGGUGGCUUUUAGCUACCACUUACAGAUGGACCCGCGGCGCAUUAGCUAGUUGGUGAGGUAACGGCUCACCAAGGCAACGAUGCGUAGCCGACCUGAGAGGGUGAUCGGCCACACUGGGACUGAGACACGGCCCAGACUCCUACGGGAGGCAGCAGUAGGGAAUCUUCCGCAAUGGACGAAAGUCUGACGGAGCAACGCCGCGUGAGUGAUGAAGGUUUUCGGAUCGUAAAACUCUGUUGUUAGGGAAGAACAAGUACCGUUCGAAUAGGCGGUACCUUGACGGUACCUAACCAGAAAGCCACGGCUAACUACGUGCCAGCAGCCGCGGUAAUACGUAGGUGGCAAGCGUUGUCCGGAAUUAUUGGGCGUAAAGCGCGCGCAGGCGGUUUCUUAAGUCUGAUGUGAAAGCCCCCGGCUCAACCGGGGAGGGUCAUUGGAAACUGGGGAACUUGAGUGCAGAAGAGGAGAGUGGAAUUCCACGUGUAGCGGUGAAAUGCGUAGAGAUGUGGAGGAACACCAGUGGCGAAGGCGACUCUCUGGUCUGUAACUGACGCUGAGGCGCGAAAGCGUGGGGAGCGAACAGGAUUAGAUACCCUGGUAGUCCACGCCGUAAACGAUGAGUGCUAAGUGUUAAAGGGUUUCCGCCCUUUAGUGCUGCAGCAAACGCAUUAAGCACUCCGCCUGGGGAGUACGGUCGCAAGACUGAACUCAAAGGAAUUGACGGGGGCCCGCACAAGCGGUGGAACAUGUGGUUUAAUUCGAAGCAACGCGAAGAACCUUACCAGGUCUUGACAUCCUCUGACAACCCUAGAGAUAGGGCUUCCCCUUCGGGGGCAGAUUGACAGGUGGUGCAUGGUUGCCGUCACCUCGGGCCUUGAGAAUGUUGGGUUAAGUCCCGCAACCAGCGCAACCCUUGAUCUUAUUUGCCAGCAUUCAGUUGGGCACUCUAAGGUGAAUGCCGGUG
rnacentral:rRNA from 1 species